rnacentral:lncRNA from 1 species
UAGGUAUUAUUAAAGAAAUUGAUCCUACAGCUACGGCCGCAACUUUUGCAACAUUUCCAACUAGUAGAUUAAUUUCUCCUUUCUUCAACUUUCUACUUAUCUUGACCCUUGCAACAUAUUGCAAAUGUUAUAACCACUGCAAAUAUCUAAUACCCACAGUGAAGAAUGAGUAGUAGCUAAAGAAACCUUGAAAAUAUUUUUCAU